GGGUGGUUAACUCGUGCGGGUCACGGGAGCUGAUUCGAAAUCAGAUGGUUCCAGCAAUGGGAUAGGGUUCGAUUCCCUAGCUGCCCUCCA
rnacentral:tRNA from 1 species